CCCUUAGAGGUUCUGGGCUGCACGCGCGCUACACUGAAGCUAUCAACACGUUUUCCCUCCCUGAGAAGGGCGGGUAACCUUUUGAAUCAGCUUCGUGGUAGGGAUCGGGGCUUGCAAUUGUUCCCCGUGAACCAGGAAUUCCUAGUAGACGCGAGUCAUAAGCUCGCAUCGAUUAAGUCCCUGCCCUUUGUACACACCGCCCGUCGCUACUACCGAUUGAACGUUUUAGUGAGGCAUUUGGACCGACGCAUCUCAGUUUAACCGCUGGUUUGUGUUGGAAAGACUUCCAAACUUGAGCGUUUAGAGGAAGUAAAAGUCGUAACA
rnacentral:rRNA from 1 species